rnacentral:siRNA from 1 species
UGUCUGAUCCUUAUAGCGUUGGCG